ensembl:lncRNA
AAGACAGAUUUAAAAAUGAUUGUUGCGUUAGUGGUGUGUAAGUAUUGUUGUGGUAAUGCUGUAGUUGAUCUUCCAUGAAGAAGCAUGGAGAAGCUUUUAAUAAGUUUCGAUGCCACUUUUAAAACUCUACAUAGGCUCUUGACUCUUCAUUUAAUUUCUACAUUAUCCUUCCUUCAUUUUAAAGCUGUAUACUUCUUUGUAGUCAUCAAAAAAAUUUUUGCUUUUUUCCACAUGCUGCUUCCAUUUCAAUAUUUCUAUUUUUCCAUUUCCUUCUGUUUUUUCCCGCUAAUGGAAACAAAGAAGGAUGUCGAGGGUCCCUUGGUUCUUCAGUUCCAGCUCCAGUUAAAGUGGGGGGAAAGAAGAGGCCUCCGGUUGAGAGACAAACGGUUCAUUCUGAAUGCUCCCUGUCUUUCUGGCCUGUGGUGACCCUUGACCUUUCACAUAAGACACAAACAAACUUCUGUCUGCUUCCUUGAGUGACGCAGGUCUCACAAAGCUCCUCUGUAUCUGACUAGAAUGAAAGGGAGUGACUGAUUGCAGCUGAGGUCUCUCUCUCUUACAUCUUGCAUUAAAAAUGUAUUGCAUAUGUAUUUCUUUUAUUGUUCCCACAAAUCUUAGAAACAUUUGGUUGGGAAGAUGACAUGUUUAAAGGGAUAGUUCACCCAAAAAUGCAAAUGUUGUCAUCAUUUACUCACCCAUGUUGUUCUAAACCUGCACAACUUUCUUUCAACUCUGUCCAAACAGUGGACGUCCAAAAUGGUUUGGUAACCAACGUUCUUCAAAAUAUCAUCUUUUAUGUUUCACACAAGAAAGAUAGUCAUACAGGUUUGGAACAACUUGAGGGUGAGUAAAUUAUGACAGAAUCAUUCCUGAACUCUCCCUUUAAUUUGGGUUCAGUUUUGAUUGAUGAAAGUGCUCACUGUUGGCAUAACAGUUUAAAAGACCAAACACUCAAGACUAUGUGAACACUUUCUAUCCAACAUUAUUCUGUAUGUUUUACCUAUUCUUCCUUUUGCAUCAGCUUAGCUGUUAAACAUUUUGCCAUUGAACUGUUAGUUGCACAGAAGUGUAAAUAUAAUGUAUAUAAUUCAAACAGGUUUCUUAAAAAAUGCCCACUUCCCUCCCUGGGUCAGAAAAACAGAUAACCCUGUUUCAAAGUCUUGCCAUUGGCUGAGCCAAUUGUUACUCUGUCAGGCUACUGAAAUUAAUAGAUAUUGUAUUUAAAUGGAUUGAGUUGAGUAGUGCACAGUUGUUUUGUGUGAAGAUGUCCUGUAACUAUUUUUUUCCUUCCUGGGAUGAUACAGUGGUAAUAAUACUGUUGCUUCAAACCAUCAUUUUAUUCUUGAGAGGGUUUAAAAUGUUCAAGCAUCGGAUGGUUUGGUGAAACCCGUGGAGAGAAAUGAGGUGUUAGAAUCAAUUCAAUGCUGCAAUCAUGUGCCAUGAUACUAAUAUGCAAGCUGGAGGCAACAGGCUCGUUCCAAGGAUUUCAAGGCGUACAGAAAUGUUAAAGUUUAGUGAAUAGCACCAGCAGUGUUCAGAGUCUAGUGAAAUUUUAGCCCCCCUAAUUCUCAUGCAGCCUACAGCUAAGUGAAUUCUGCUGUAAAGUACAUGAACUCUUGAGUUUUAAUAUGAUAAACUUGUGUUACAAUUGGAGGUAAGUUAUAGAUCAAUAAAAUAUUAGAUAGUUAUAGGUUUAUGUAAAUA